CACAGUAAGAUUCUUUUUGCCUCUUCUUUGCCCCUUUAUCAUACACUCGUUGUGGCUCGUCACCUUUGUGUUAUGCAUGCAGAGAGGAUUAUUAUUGUUGUUAUUAUCCACUACUACUUUAAAUGAGAGCAUAACAAGAUUACCUGGAAUGUGCUUCAAAGAGCUAUUUUAUGUAAACUAAAUUUACUCAACCACCACAUCAUGUACCAUGAACUGUACUAACUGAAUCAUUCCAAUGACACUACACUCUGAAUACUAAUAAUGUAUUUUAUAUAUAAUUGCAUUUGACAUCUGUUUUUAAGGAUUUAUUUACAGUAACAAUUA